CCACUGCCCCCAGCCAGUGCAGGGAGGGGAGGCCUGCUGAGAGAACGGAGGGGCCUCCUUGGACUUUGGGACACCCGGUGACCUUUUAUAGAUAGGCCUGGACAGGUCAGUCUAGCCUGAGAGACUUGAGUCAGUGAGGGAGGAUGAGGGAAUCAGGCAGGGCACUGGGUUUGAGGGGCCCGCGGUCCCCAGUGAACACACCUUCCUCACAGGGUCUUUGGGCCUCCCGUCCUGGAGACGUAGCUUUGCUUAAUCUCUCGCCUGGCCCAGCAUAGGGACAUAAAUACUGAAAACUCUCACUCCCCUCACCAACUUGUCCUGUAAAGGGCCAGACAGUGAAUAUUCUAGGUCUUGCAAGCUGCAUACAGGCAUACGGAAUCUGACACACAUUCCUCUUUGUUUUUAUAGCCCUUAAAGGACGUAAAAUCCAUUCUGAGCUCACGAAUUAGGGCAAAAAAAUGACGCUGUGGGCAGGAUGUGGCCUCCUGGACAGAGUUCGCGGACCCCUACUCCGGAAUUCUAGAGACUGUCCCCAACACAACAUAUAAGGAGUGGGCUGCCAACUAACAUACAGGACACUCGAUUCAAUUUGAAUUUCAGAUAAACAACAAAGAACUUUUUAGUAUAAAUACGCCCCAAAUAUUGCAAAUGUUUUCUCUGGCAACCUGCAGUGGAGACAGCGUUUAUUCACCCAGCACUGCCUGCCGGACCCUUAACUAAGUCUUCCCACGUCAACUCACGUCGAACCUGUGAGGCAGGUAUUAUUAUCAGCAUUUUUCCAAUGGAAGAAAAACAAUGAAGCUCGCGGUGGUAAAGGUCAUAGAGCCGUCACCCAACGUCAUAGAGCCAAUUGGAGCAAAGGCCAGAUUCAGCCCCUCCCCUGAUGCCUAAACCCCCAUCUUUCUGCCCUACCGCAUUCCCUCAUUCCAACUGGCAAAGAGCGUUCCGGAAAGAAGGGACCUGCACAGUCAUACUGAAGAGUGAUGACAGGAUGCACAGCCCAUCCUGGUCCCACAGCACAGGACUCUGAUGAGAGCAAGCUGGGAGGCCUAAGAAGAUCCCUCUUCCCCCUGGAAAGGAACGGAGGCCCUGGCUUCUGCCCAGCCCACGCGCGAGCCAGGGACCCGAUGGCCUGGGCCUGUAGAGUGACAGGGUCACCAGGGCAGAUGGGAAAUUGAAAACAGACUCAAAAUGGGUGUGGAGGGCUGCAGCCCAGCCCCGAUUGGGAGCAUCGGAGCUGCCGGAUGCUGAGUUCUCUCUUGGGGGCAUGGUUCCUCCACCUGGGCACAGCUGAUCUAGCUUGUUUUUAAUAUCUCUUUAUCUGUUCGCUUGUU